rnacentral:rRNA from 1 species
GACGAACGCUGGCGGCGUGCUUAACACAUGCAAGUCGAACGCUGAAGCUUGGUGCUUGCACUGGGUGGAUGAGUGGCGAACGGGUGAGUAAUACGUGAGUAACCUGCCCUUGACUCUGGGAUAAGCCUGGGAAACUGGGUCUAAUACUGGAUACGACAUGCCACUGCAUGGUGGUGUGUGGAAAGGGUUUUACUGGUUUUGGAUGGGCUCACGGCCUAUCAGCUUGUUGGUGGGGUAAUGGCCUACCAAGGCGACGACGGGUAGCCGGCCUGAGAGGGUGACCGGCCACACUGGGACUGAGACACGGCCCAGACUGCUACGGGAGGCAGCAGUGGGGAAUAUUGCACAAUGGGCGGAAGCCUGAUGCAGCGACGCCGCGUGAGGGAUGACGGCCUUCGGGUUGUAAACCUCUUUCAGCACGGAAGAAGCGAGAGUGACGGUACGUGCAGAAGAAGCGCCGGCUAACUACGUG